GACAGAGGGUGCAAACGUUGUUCGGAAUUACUGGGCGUAAAGCGCGCGUAGGCUGCUUCGCAAGUCGGGUGUGAAAGCCCUGGGCUCAACCUAGGAAGUGCACUCGAAACUGCGAAGCUUGAGUCCUGGAGAGGAAGGCGGAAUUCUCGGUGUAGAGGUGAAAUUCGUAGAUAUCGAGAGGAACACCGGUGGCGAAGGCGGCCUUCUGGACAGUGACUGACGCUGAGACGCGAAAGCGUGGGGAGCAAACAGG
rnacentral:rRNA from 1 species